GUGUUGAUGGGGUAGUUGGUUAUCGCAUCUGUCUAUCACAUAGAAGGUCCCUAGUUCGAGCUUGGGUCAAAUA